UACGAAGGGGACUAGCGUUGUUCGGAAUUACUGGGCGUAAAGCGCACGUAGGCGGAUUUGUUAGUCAGGGGUGAAAUCCCGGGGCUCAACCUCGGAACUGCCUUUGAUACUGCAAGUCUCGAGUCCGAUAGAGGUGGGUGGAAUUCCUAGUGUAGAGGUGAAAUUCGUAGAUAUUCGCAAGAACACCAGUGGCGAAGGCGGCUCACUGGCCCGUAACUGACGCUGAGGCACGAAAGCGUGGGGAGCAAACAGG
rnacentral:rRNA from 1 species